rnacentral:rRNA from 1 species
UCAACAACUAGAUGUGGUUGCAAAGCUGAAUUAAGGGUCCAUUCGAAUGAUUCUGGAGAAUGGUAUGUCAAAAGUUUCAAAGAAGAACACAACCAUGAGCUUGUUGAAAGUUGUGGUCAAAAGAAACACAUGUAUUCUCAUUAGCAUAUUGAUCCAGCAGCAAGAGAUCUUAUUAAGCAUUUGAGACAAAAUGAUGUUUCACUUACAAGGGUAAAUUCUGUCAUAUCAGAUAUGUAUGGUUCAACCACUAAAGUGCCUUUUAGUAAAAGGAAACUUAGAACUGUCUGUUCUCAAAUUGCAAGCGAGAACAUACAAAAUGAUAUUGCCAAGACAUUAGAAUUUUUUAGAGAGAAAAUUGCGCAAGAUGAUAGAUUUGCUUUUACUGCACAAGUUGAUGAUGAUAAUAGGUUGAAGGCUAUAAUGUGGACUAGUGGACGAAGUAGGGCACUUUAUCAGUAUUUUGGCGAUGCAAUCACAUUUGACACUACUUAUGGUACAAACAUUUAG